rnacentral:rRNA from 1 species
AGUCGAGCGGUAACAGGGGUAGCUUGCUACCCGCUGACGAGCGGCGGACGGGUGAGUAAUGCAUAGGAAUUUACCCGAUAGUGGGGGAUAACCUGGGGAAACCCAGGCUAAUACCGCAUACGUCCUACGGGAGAAAGGGGGCUUUGGCUCCCGCUAUCGGAUGAGCCUAUCCCCCCAUUAGCUGGUUGGUGAGGUAAUGGCUCACCAAGGCGACGAUCCGUAGCUGGUCUGAGAGGAUGAUCAGCCACAUCGGGACUGAGACACGGCCCGAACUCCUACGGGAGGCAGCAGUGGGGAAUAUUGGACAAUGGGCGCAAGGCUGAUCCAGCCAUGCCGCGUGUGUGAAGAAGGCCCUCGGGUUGUAAAGCACUUUCAGCGAGGAAGAACGCCUGGCGGUUAAUACCCGCCAGGGAAAGACAU